rnacentral:rRNA from 1 species
CGUGGGGCGCUAUACAUGSAAGUCGUACGCUUCUUUUUCCACCGGAGCUUGCUCCACCGGAAAAAGAAGAGUGGCGAACGGGUGAGUAACACGUGGGUAACCUGCCCAUCAGAAGGGGAUAACACUUGGAAACAGGUGCUAAUACCGUAUAACAAUCGAAACCGCAUGGUUUUGAUUUGAAAGGCGCUUUCGGGUGUCGCUGAUGGAUGGACCCGCGGUGCAUUAGCUAGUUGGUGAGGUAACGGCUCACCAAGGCCACGAUGCAUAGCCGACCUGAGAGGGUGAUCGGCCACAUUGGGACUGAGACACGGCCCAAACUCCUACGGGAGGCAGCAGUAGGGAAUCUUCGGCAAUGGACGAAAGUCUGACCGAGCAACGCCGCGUGAGUGAAGAAGGUUUUCGGAUCGUAAAACUCUGUUGUUAGAGAAGAACAAGGAUGAGAGUAACUGUUCAUCCCUUGACGGUAUCUAACCAGAAAGCCACGGCUAACUACGUGCCAGCAGCCGCGGUAAUACGUAGGUGGYAAGCGUUGUCCGGAUUUAUUGGGCGUAAAGCGAGCGCAGGCGGUUUCUUAAGUCUGAUGUGAAAGCCCCCGGCUCAACCGGGGAGGGUCAUUGGAAACUGGGAGACUUGAGUGCAGAAGAGGAGAGUGGAAUUCCAUGUGUAGCGGUGAAAUGCGUAGAUAUAUGGAGGAACACCAGUGGCGAAGGCGGCUCUCUGGUCUGUAACUGACGCUGAGGCUCGAAAGCGUGGGGAGCAAACAGGAUUAGAUACCCUGGUAGUCCACGCCGUAAACGAUGAGUGCUAAGUGUUGGAGGGUUUCCGCCCUUCAGUGCUGCAGCUMACGCAUUAAGCACUCCGCCUGGGGGAGUACGACCGCAAGGAUUGAAACGCAAAGGAAUUGACGGGGGGCCCGCACAAGCGGUGGGAGCAUGGUGGUUUAAUUCGAACGCAAUUGAACCGGGGGUCCCGCCAUCAAGCUGGUGGGGUAGCCCAAUG